UAUUUUUGAGAUUUACAGACCAUUUUGGCUGCUGUGGAGCCUAACAGACACUGCAUGGAUUUCUUUUUUAUGUUUCAUAUAUUUGGAAAGAAAAUUUCAAUGUCACCGUAUAGUCAGCUAUAAAAGGCCCCGAAUAGAAAAUGUAAAACAAUUCAAGCGAGAAAACUUUGAUUUGUACCAGACAGAAGCUUGUUUAUGAUAAUAUUAAGUUGGUAUCCAGAAGUAAAUUUUGAAAAAAAA
rnacentral:lncRNA from 1 species